rnacentral:misc_RNA from 1 species
GAAAUGCGAUAAUUAAUGUGAAUUGCAGAAUUCAGUGAAUCAUCGAGUCUUUGAACGCACAUUGCGCCCCCUGGUAUUCCGGGGGGCAUGCCUGUCCGAGCGUCAUUGCUGCCCACAAGCACGGCUUGUGUGUUGGGCUUCCGUCCCUGGCAACGGGGACGGGCCCAAAAGGCAGUGGCGGCACCAUGUCUGGUCCUCGAGCGUAUGGGGCUUUGUCACCCGCUCCCGUAGGUCCAGCUGGCAGCUAGCCUCGCAACCAAUCUUUUUAACCAGGUUGACCUCGGAUCAGGUAGGGAUACCCGCUGAACUUAAGC